GCGCCGGUGGUGUAAGGCGAACAUCGCUGCCCGGAAAGCAGAUGAUGCGAGUUCGAGUCCCGUCUGGCGCA
rfam:Heligmosomoides polygyrus genome assembly, scaffold: HPBE_scaffold0000541